rnacentral:lncRNA from 1 species
AAAAUGCAAAUAAACCGACAGACUUAAACCAACCAAACAAGCAUAUGACAAUUAAAACUAAUGAAUGCAAAGAGAAAAUCAGGUUUUAAAACAACUUUAAUUUUCGACAAAAAAGACAAAAGAUAAUCAAUUCAUGGCUCGACUCUCUAAUGGUCCCCAGUGGAGUCGCCAAGCUGUCGAAACCAUUUUUUUGAAAACAAAAAUAAGUUAU